rnacentral:rRNA from 1 species
UCGAACGAGAGAGAGGGAGCUUGCUUCCUUGAUCGAGUGGCGAACGGGUGAGUAACGCGUGAGGAACCUGCCUCAAAGAGGGGGACAACAGUUGGAAACGACUGCUAAUACCGCAUAAGCCCACGACCCGGCAUCGGGAAGAGGGAAAAGGAGCAAUCCGCUUUGAGAUGGCCUCGCGUCCGAUUAGCUAGUUGGUGAGGUAACGGCCCACCAAGGCGACGAUCGGUAGCCGGACUGAGAGGUUGAACGGCCACAUUGGGACUGAGACACGGCCCAGACUCC